UACAGAGGUCUCAAGCGUUGUCCGGAAUUAUUGGGCGUAAAGGGCUCGUAGGCGGUUUGUCGCGUCGGGGAGUGAAAACACGGGGCUUAACCCCGUGCCUGCUUCCGAUACGGGCAGACUAGAGGUAGGCAGGGGAGAGCGGAACUCCUGGUGUAGCGGUGGAAUGCGCAGAUAUCAGGAAGAACACCGGUGGCGAAGGCGGCUCUCUGGGCCUUACCUGACGCUGAGGAGCGAAAGCGUGGGUAGCGAACAGG
rnacentral:rRNA from 1 species